rnacentral:rRNA from 1 species
UUGAAAGGGAAACGAUUGAAGUCAGUCGUACCGACGAGAAAUCAGCUUUUCGAAUGUGCAUUUGUGGGCGUAUGAGAUCUUCAUUGUUUGCAAUAUGUAUGUUUCUUUGGUGUACUUUUUCGUAUGGUAGGUCAACGUCGGUUUUGAUCGCCAUAAAAUGAUCGGAGGAAUGUAGCUUCGACCUCGGUUGAAGUGUUAUAGCCUUUGGUAAAUGUGGUGAUUAGGACCGAGGAUUGCAACGAAUACCUUCUAGGCUAUCCGUCUGACCUCUGAAAGUUACUUAGGUGCCGAAAGCUUGCUUACGGUCAUUUAAGUUGACGGUCAAUAGGUUAGAACGUGAUUACAUUCGUUAAGGAUGUUGACGUA